rnacentral:rRNA from 1 species
UAGUGACAAUAAAUCACAAUGCGGAACUUUUGUUUUGCAAUUGGAUUGAGAACAACGCACAACACUUAUCGAUAAACAAUUGGAGGGCAAGUCUGGUGCCAGCAGCCGCGGUAAUUCCAGCUCCAAUAGCGUAUAUUAACGUCGUUGCAGUUAAAAAGCUCGUAGUUGAAGUGAAGUAAUGAAGUUGUGACUUGAUUUCUCAUUUCGCUCCUUAAUUACUCUUUCCAAACUGUUUGCACGGGUAUUCAUUUACUCGUGUAUUGCAUUUGGUCGUUUACUGUGAGAAAAUUAGAGUGUUCAAAGCAUACGUUUGUUUGAAUACAUUAGCAUGGAAUAAUUCGAAAAGGCUUUCAUGUUCGAUUUGAUUGGUUUGUUCGUGAGAGCAAGAUUAAAAGGGACAGUUGGGGGUAUUCAUAUUCAAUAGUCAGAGGUGAAAUUCUCGGAUUUAUGGAAGAUGAACUAGUGCGAAAGCAUUUACCAAGGAUGUUUUCAUUAAUCAAGAACGAAAGUUAGGGGAUCGAUGAGGCUUAGAUACCCUCGUAGUCUUA